rnacentral:rRNA from 1 species
AGGAAUUGGCGGGGGAGCACCGCAACGGGAGGAGCGUGCGGUUUAAUUGGAUUCAACACCGGAAAACUCACCAAGGGCGACUGUUACAUGAAAGCCAGGCUAAUGACCUUGCUUGAUUUUCAGAGAGGUGGUGCAUGGCCGUCGUCAGUUCGUACCGUAAGGCGUUCUCUUAAGUGAGAUGACGAACGAGACCCUCACCGAUGAUUGCCAGUCCGAUCCCCGGAUCGGGCGCACAUUAUAGGGACCGCUGGCGCUAAGCCAGAGGAAGGAGAGGUCAACGGUAGGUCAGUAUGCCCCGAAUCUCUUGGGCUACACGCGCGCUACAAAGGGCGGGACAAUGGGUUCCGACGCCGAGAGGCGGAGGCAAUCCCGAAACCCGUCCGUAGUUCGGAUUGAGGGUUGUAACUCACCCUCAUGAAGCUGGAUUCCGUAGUAAUCGCGAAUCAACAACUCGCGGUGAAUAUGCCCCUGCUCCUUGCACACACCGC